UGAAACCCUCCCUUGUCAGGGUCCAAAGUCUCCUUUUUCCUUUGGUUGAUUUUGUUGUGUUUUUUUCCCUACAUCUCAUUGUUUGUCCUAAAAUGAUAAAUAAGAGAUGAUCUUUAUCCAAAUGAUAUUAGUAAUCUGCUCGCAGGCUAGAAAUACACAGACAGAGGACGUCAGUAAACGGAGCCAGGAAUAGAGAAGGAAGUGCCCGUUGUGGACUGGGCAACCCCCGAGGCGGCAAAGAGGAAACAAGGAAUCUUGCCAUUGGCUCAGAUGAGGAAUAUUGAUGUCAAGUAUGUGUCACAGAUGGAAUGUCAAUAUUGCAACUGUGAUGUUUUUAUAUCAUGUGAGAAGAACAAUGGUGUCCUG
rnacentral:lncRNA from 1 species